AUGGCGGUUUGCUGUCAAAAGUAAAGCUAUCCUUUCUUCGAAAAUUACCAACAAAUUCAUAGGAGGAAACGUGAAAUGGCCGUGGCCUUCGUGCAGCCUACCGUUUACUUUUUUGUUCAAAAUCAUUUUAUUCUACUGAAUGUGCUAUUGAAAGGAUACAGGAGUCAUAAUUAUCAGCUGUUUGUAUUGGACUUGCUAGAUCACCAACAGCCCAGCAUAGA